AAUAGAGCAAGGCAGUAAGAACACGUUCGAUUAAUUGUAUUGUACUUGUGAGAUUUGAAUUUCUACCAUUUUGUACAUUAUUUCCAAAGGACAGAGCCAUAGCUGGAAAAACUUUUAAGUACAAUUGAAAAAAUAGUAUGUCACGCAUUAAGGAAAUAAAAUAAAGAGUUGAGUAAAAUAGAUAUGAUAUGCCAACAAAUACUCAAGCAGAAGCCAUAAACAUCAACAAAAAUUUUAAGGGGUCAUCCAGAUAGACAAUAUUUAAAAUACAUACACUACGGCAGAAGCGGAGAGUAGUGGCGGGUAAGUAGCGGUGGUGGCCAUAAUCGCCGCAGAUUGAAAGGAUCGCGGCAGAGUUGAGCAGCGGUCAGGUAGAAGCCGCAAAACAGUCCUGUAUCGCGGUUGGGCAGUGGAAAACGCUGCCAAAUUUGCAUACAUAUCUUCAAGCUUCUUUGGAUAAUCCUAUCUGUUCGGUGCGAACAAGAGAGGGAGCAGGGGCGCGAAACAACCCACUCUCCCUGUGCCGCAAUAUCCCCAGCGACCGCGGCAAGAAAUGCCGCUAGAAACCCGCGAGUUGAGCUUCGUAGCGCGCCAAACACUGCCUUCGCUGCUCUACCGUGCGCCAUUGCUGUUGAUCCAUCCACAGUUCUUGAAACCCUACCCCCUCAUCCACAGUGUGCGAAAUCCCUCUCCUCAGCUCUACCCUGCGCCUCUGUGUGGGUUUUCGAGUCGCAGAGCCCCCAUCCGUGCUUCUCUCACCGGCAUCGAAGUUUCCUAUAUCCUCGAUCGUGCGCGACACCAUUACACCCUCCUCCACCGUGAGCCAAUCUGAGCUAUUGUAGCCUCUCCCUUGUCACUGGUUUGUUCUUCCACACUGAACUUUCCUUCUUGUUUUCAUUCUUGGUUCAGGAUUCUGAAAAGGAAUUUUUCUAUAUCUUCUAUUAAUUGGGGUUAAUUGAUGCUGUUUAGAUAGUCUGAAUUCGUUAGAUAAAUACAUUUAGUUUUCAAUUAAUCUGAAUUCUCUGGGUUAGAUAGUUUGCUUUGCAAUUUUAUCUGCUCUGAUACUAAGUUCAUAGAUACUUUAUGUACACUGUAACCUUGUGAAACUUUUGUUGUUGGAUUGAUUCUUGUCUCACAAUCCAAUUCUCAAUACGCUACAAAUGUAUCUGGAACUGGCACUUUGUUAUUGACUUUUUCAAGUGACAAGUGAACAUUGGUAUUUUUAUAUUUCAUAUGAUGUGUUGCUGGUGGGUUAUUUGUGCUUUACACCUUGGUCUUUAUUUUAAACAAAUUUGCUAGAAAAGGAGAACAUUUUAUUUCUUCAAAAUUUACAUCUGAUAACUUUGAUCCAUCCAAAUGGUUUUGAUGGAAUAUUUUUAAAUUUGCUUGCUUAGUUGAAUCUCUUUGAUGCUUGUGCAUGUCAUUGUACAAUUUUACAAUUUCUUCUUGCCGUUUAGUUCCUGAGAUAGAUGCAUUAUUGGAGUUUUUGGUUUAUUGUGUCCGAUUCAUUGAAAACAUGAAAGCUUAUUGAUUAUAUUUUCUUUAUAUUGUGCCUAGUUCUAUUCCAUGUUUUGCAGCAUUUAUGCAUGGUAUCAUCUGAUUCAUGAAUGGAAUGUUAAAAUCAAGAGGCCUAUCUAAGUUCUAACAAACAUAUAGACACAUGACCCUAUAUCCCAUUUUAUAUUUGUGUGAUUGGUAACUGUUGUGAUCAACAUUAUGGCAAUGACAUAGAGAAGUUGCAUUUGUAUUAUUAUUUACGUGAAAUUAGAAAAUAGUACUUAAUUAAUUUAGAAAGCUAGCUAGCUUAGCUUGAUUAUAUUUUAAAUAUUGGUAGAGAAAUUGUUGUACAGGAUUUUGAUGUUUUUACAUAUAUGAAUAAUAAUGGACUUAUUAUAGACUGUGCGUGUUUAAUUUAAUUUAUCAUUUAUUUAAUUGACUUCAAUUUCUUUGCCUUGGCGAAAGUUUCCUCUUUCUUUUUCAUUUUUGGUUAAUGCAGUUUACUGUUUCAUUGCAAAUGAAGCCAAAAUUUUGGAAGAACUCAAUUAUAUGCUUCAUUAUUGUUACUAUAAUUAUCACUGUUAUAGCAUCUUCCUUCUAUGGUUCAAAUCCAAAUAAGAGUACCCUAAUAAUUCAGUUGUCAUUCCCAUUAUCUCUGUUCUAUUAUGCUUGUUCCCUGCAGAAAGUUGGGAUUUCCAGUUAGAUUUGUGGUCAAAGUAUUAACUACGUUGUUAAUGUGUUUCUCACAAAUACUGGAUUUCUAUUUGUGGUAUCUUUAAUUUUUUAAGUCAUGGAAUAACUAAGAAAACAGGGCUAAUAUAUUUGAUGGUAGGUUGGUGGAGUACCAAUUAGUUUUGCAAUGUUUAUGAUUUGGUACAUGGGAGAAGGGAAAAAAAAGUUGGAGUGUAGGGUAUUAGUUAAAUACCACGUGAUGUUAUUGUUUUGAUAAAUAUAUUCCUUGACACAGUCAUAUAGCUGAUUGUGAUUUAAGAUACCACAGUACUCAUCCAUUUCUCUCCUUAAGUUUUCAUGCUUCUUUCUUUUUGUUUUUAUGGAACCCUGUUGGGAUCUCUAGUGGAAAGCAUAUUCUUGCAGUAACUGCAUGUUUUUGUUAUUUUCUUUUGGGUUUUGGAAAUUGUGUUUUAAUGCAGAUUUAUUUGAAACUGAAAGCGUGUAGAGGAUCUUCAACGGUGUCUGUUGCUAAGUACUGUGCAAAAAAAUUGCAAAAUUGUCUCUGAGGAGAAGCUUCUAGAGCACACUUUGAUCAAAGUUAUUUUUCUUUCAAACUUUGUUAUUUGUUAUGAGUGUGAUGAUUCUAAUUUAUUAUUAUUGUUCUCAAUCUAAGCAUGCUCAGAUCAAAGGGGCUUAAUAGAUAA